CAUCAACACAGGAAAGUGUCUAAUGAAUUUUUAUUUUCACUUCCCCAAACCAACCUACCACGAAGCAGAGAGGACCUGUUUUCUCAUAUCAUCACAUCUGAUGGAUAUGCCAAACUUCAUCCAAAUUCAAACAGGCACACCCUGAAUGACAUGGGGAAAUGGAAGGAGAAAAAAAAAAACAAUGCUAAAAAGCCUAGAGAUGACCACAUAUGAAACGACCAUGUGUGUAAAGGAUUGCUGGAAAAUAAAUCAGGAAGUAUGAGGAGAUUUUCCUCCAGUAUUCACUGUGAGAAACUGGUCCUGCUCCUGGAGGCAAAUUCACAAAAGCACGGAGGCCCUGAUGACUGAGUGCCCCCCAGUUUUUAAUCUCUGGGGCUCGUUGGCUCUGGGCCUCCAGCCACUCAUCAGUGAUGUUCAGGUUUCCCUACCUUGGCACUGCUUCCCACGGAGAGAUGGCCUGGAUUCUGCCAUGUAAAUCAAAGAAGAGAGGGCCUAACUCAGCUGCCUAGCCUGGAUCACCUGGAACCCAUUAGGAUACAGGAUCAUAAACACCUCUAUUUUCCCUUCAGAGAGAGACCAGAACCACUGGAGUUAAGCUACCUGCAUAAGAGUUGAGUGCGAUCAGCUGUACUUAAUCUUUAAAUGUCCAACCCACUGAUAACCUUUGGUUUGCUUUGAUAACUAUGAAAUAAAUUCUCACUGCAUUGGA
rnacentral:lncRNA from 1 species